rnacentral:lncRNA from 1 species
UUUCUUUCAAAUUCAUUUGAGCUUUUGAGGCUAGGAUUAGAAAGUUCAAGACUUUGGAUAUAAUUUAAGUAAAGAAUUUGUAUGAUUUCGAGUUUUUGUAAAAGAGAUAUAGGUAUUCAAAGUUAAGGUAUUAAAUUUGUACCUACUGUCACUCUUUGAAGCAUAACAUAUGUGUAUGGAGAGAAAUGAAAGAUUGGCAACUGGAAUUAGAGAGAACACUUUCUUGGCUACACUUCACAUAUACUAUUUGAUGAAUUUGAAGUUUAGAUGAAGAAGUUAUAGAGGGUUGAAGUUAGUGUAUCCAAAUCAAAUGUAGUAAAUAAAAGAUUUUAUUCAUAGUAAUGGUUGGAGCCAUAUCUUGAGUUUCGGAAAGAGUUUUUGGCUGAAAUCUUAUAGAAAAGGUAGACAAUUGUAUUAAAAAAAUAUACAUAUAAAAUUUGUGGCAUUUAGGUGUUUAGUUUGUGAGAUAUGAAGAAAAUUGCAUGCAAGUGUAUAAAAACUAGGGUUUGAAGCUAUUGUUAGGAUUUUGGUGAUAUCUUAAGUUCCGCGAUGAAUUUGUAGUUGAAAUUUGUUGUGGAAGUUGAUGAAAAUACGUCAAUACUUUAUGUAAAAUUUGAGUAAUUUUGGAUGGUUGGAUCAAGAAAUAUGAGGUAUUGAAGUUAAGAAAAAUUUCUAUACAAGGAUAUACAAGGUUUUAUAGGAUUUUAUCAUAUAUUUGGAUGUUGUUGGUUACUUGAGGCUUAUGUAUUUGGUGUAAUUUCUCCAAAAAGGGAAAUUUUAUAUAUAAACUUAGGAAUUUCCUUA